AUGGAGUCUCUCUUUGUCACCGAGGCUGGAGUGCAGUGGCAUGAUCACGGCUCACUGCAACGUCUGCCUCCCGGGUUCAAGUGAUUCUCCUGCCUCAGCCUCUGGAGUAGCUGAGAUUGCAGGUGCCCACCACCGCACCCAGAUCAUGAAGCUGGCUGAAAUCAGUUGGAACCAAUAUGACCGACUGGAGUCUGCACAGAACAAGCCUGCUGACAUCACAGCCUGAAUUUCCACUGCAUGUUUUAUACUAACUCAUUUUCGAAUAUGCACAUGGGACCCAUGAAGUAGCAUGAAUAGCAGUGCUCCUUGCUGCCACCAUAUGAAGAAGGAUGUGUUUGCUUCUCCUUCCACCAUGACUGUAAGUUUCCUGAGGCCUCCCCAGCCCUGCAGAAUUGUGAGUCAAUUAAACCUCUUUUCUUUAUAAAUUACCCAGUCUCAGGUAUUUUUUCACAGCAGUGUGAGAAGAGACUAAUAUAGUAAACUGGUACCAGUAGAGUGGGGUGCUGCUAUAAGGAUACCUAAAAAUGUGGAAGCGACUUUGGAACUGCAUAACAGGCAGAGGUUGGAACAGUUUGGAGGGUUCCAAAGAAGACAGGAAAAUAAGGAAAAGUUUGGAGCUUCCCAGAGACUUGGGAGGCUCAGAAGACAGGAAGAUGUGGAAAUGUUUGGAACUUCCUAGAGACUUGCUGAAUGGCCUUGACCAAAAUACUGAUAGUGAUAUGGACAAUGAAGUCCAGGCUGAGGUAGUCUCAGAGGGAGAUAAGAAACUUGUUGGGAAUUGGAGUAAAAGUCACACUUGCUAUGCUUUAGCAAAGAGACAGGUGGCAUUUUCCCCCUGCCCUAGAGAUCUGCAGAACUUUGAACUUGGGAGAGAUGACACAGGGUACCUGGCAGAAGAAAUUUCUAAGUGGUAAAGUGUUCAAGAAGCAGCAGAACACAAACGUUUGGAAAAUUUGCAGCCUGACAAUGUGAUAGAAAAGAAAAACCGAUUUUCUGGGCAGAAAUUUAAGCCCGUUGCAGAAAUUUGCAUAGGUAAUGAGAAGCCAAAUGUUGAUCCCCAAGACAAUAGGAAAAAUGUCUCCAGGCUAUGUCAGAGACCUUCACAGCAGCCCCUCCCAUCACAGGCCUGGAGGCCUAGGAGGAAAAAAUGGUUUCAUGGGCCGGGUCCAGGGCCUCCCUGCUGUAUGCAGCCUCAGGACUUGGUGCCCUGUGUCCCAGCUGUGGCUAAAAGGGGCCAAGGUACAGUGUGGCCAUGGCUUCAGAGGGUGCAAGCUCCAAGCCUUGGCAGCUUCCACAUGGUGUUGAGCCUGCAGGUGCACAGAAGUCAAGGACUGAUGUUUGGGAACCUCUGCCUAGAUUUCAGAAGAUACCUGGAUGUCCAAGCAGUAGUGUGCUGCAGGAAUGGAGCCCUUGUGGAGAACCUCUCCUAGGGCAGUGCAGAAGGGAAAUGUGGUGUGGGAGCCCCCACACUGAGAUCCCACUGGGGCACUGCCUAGUGGAGCUGUGAGAAGAGGACCACUGUCCUCUAGACCCCAGAAUGGUAGAUCCACAGAUAGCUUGCACCGUGUAUCUGGAAAAGCCACAGACACCCAACAGCAGCCCAUGAAAGCAGCCAGGAGGGGAGUAUACCCUGCAAAGCCACAGGGGUAGAGCUAACCAAGACCAUGGGAACCCACCUCUUAUAUCAGUGUGACCUGGAUGUGAGACAUGGAGUCAAAGGAGAUCAUGUUAGAGCUUUAAGAUCUGACUGACCCACCGGAUUUCAGACUUGCAUGGGGUCUGUAGCCCCUUCAUUUUGGCCAAUUUCUCCCAUUUUGGAUAGGUGUAUUUACCCAAUGCCUGUACCCCCAUAGUAUCUAGGAAGUAACUAACUUGCUUUUGAUUUUACAGGCUCAUAGAUGGAAGGGACUUGCCUUGUCUCAGAUGAGACUUUGGACUUGGACAUUUGGGUUAAUGAUAGAAUGAGUUAAGAUAUUGGGGGACUGUUGGGAAGGCAUGAUUGUGUUUUGAAAUGUGACGACAUGAGAUUUGGGAGGGGCCGGGGGUGGAAUGAUAUGGUUUGGCUGUGUCUGCACCCAAAUGUCAUCUUGAAUUGUAGUUCCCAUAACCUCCACAUGUCGUGAGAGGUAAUUGAAUCAUGGAGGUGGUUACCCCUAUGCUGCUGUUUUUGUGAUAGUGAGUUCUCAUGAGAUCUGAUGGUUUUAUAAGAAGCUUUUCCCUCUUUGCUUAACACUACUCCUUGCCGCCACCAUGCAAAGAACAAUGUGUUUGCUUCCCCUUCUGCCAUGAUUGUAGGUAGGUGUCCUGAGGCCUCCCAGCCCUGCAGAACAGUGAGUGAAUUAAACCUCUUUCCUUUAUAAAUUA